rnacentral:misc_RNA from 1 species
CCGAAUUGAAACGAUCAUGAGAUCUAGUGAUAAAGUAAUCCUAUCAGUUUUUUUAUUUUCAGUAUUUAGUAGGAUUGCUAGUACUAGUAAAGAUAGUGACAUAACUAUUUUCGGUAAUAUCAAAAAGCUACCACAAGAAAUGUCAGAACGUAUGGAUGAAUGUUGGUAUACUUACAAGACUAGAUUGAACAAAACGUACACGACGAAGGAGGAGCUUGAAAGACGAGCAGCUUGGGAGAAGAACCUGCUGAAAAUUUACGAGCACAACUUGAUGGCUGAAGCAGGCCAUCAUACCUAUACAUUAAAAGACAACCAUAUUGCUGAUUUAUGUACAUACCAAUACAUGAAAAAUAUGGUAAAAUUAAAGCCAAGUCGUCGACGGAAAAUAAAUGACAAUGAAAUAGUUGGUGCCGUUCUCCACGAUCCCACAAGAAUUCCUACCAAUCUCGAUUGGCGAAAAAGGGGUUUCAACACUAUUGCAAUAGAUCAACGUGCAUGUGGUAGCUGUUAUGCUUAUUCAAUAGUGGAAAGUUUAAUGGGUCAAAUAUUCCAAAAAACUGGUAGAAUGAUUCCUUUAAGUGCUCAACAGCUCAUUGAUUGUAGUACAGUAACUGGAAACUUAGGAUGUAGUGGAGGAUCACUCAGAAAUACUCUAAAAUAUAUUGAAAAAGCUGGUGGAUUAAUGGAAGAAAGAAAUUAUCCAUAUGUAGCUGAGGAAGGUCGGUGCAAAUUCCAAAGAAUCCUCAGUAUCAUCAACAUUACAUCAUGGGCUAUUUUGCCAGCGAGAGAUGAACGAGCUUUGCAAGCUGCUGUGGCGACCAUUGGACCAAUAGCAGUUUCUAUCAAUGCCAGUCCACGGACAUUUCAAUUAUAUCACCAGGGAAUUUACGAUGACCCGCUAUGCAGUUCAGACACAGUAAAUCAUGCUAUGCUGUUAGUUGGUUACACACCACAGGAAUGGAUAUUAAAAAACUGGUGGGGUGAAAAUUGGGGUGAAGGUGGUUACAUGCGGAUAAGGAGAAAUAAAAAUCUUUGUGGAAUUGCUAAUUAUGCUGCUUAUGCUCGCAUAUGAAAUCAUUAUUUCGUCAACAUGCUUCGAUGAUAAACUACAUUGUCAUGGCUUCAACACGUCUAGAGCAGGUGGCGAAUUUGCGGUUAACUCACCACAUCAAGGCGCCCGACGCUCGUCUCGACAAUUCAACUAAACGCUCGCCAAAAGUGUCAUCAGACUAUUUCACGCAUCGUAAUUUCCAAUGAAGCUCUCAAUUCUCAUCAUGCAUCUACAUUGUUAAGCCAUAUUACAUUCGUUUCUUCUUCUCCUUCUUCUUUUCUUCUUGACAGUGUACUGAAUAUUAAUAUCAAAUAAUUUACACAUUUCAUUUUUCAUAAAAAAGACUUCUAGCUAAGAGUUAGUAUAGUACACUGUAGAAUCAUAUUUUACAUACUUGUUAACAAUUUUUUUUAAUUUAUUAUCUGACGACUAUGCAAAUAUUAU